rnacentral:rRNA from 1 species
GAUGAACGCUGGCGGCGUGCCUAAUACAUGCAAGUCGAGCGAACGGACGAGAAGCUUGCUUUUCUGAUGUUAGCGGCGGACGGGUGAGUAGCACGUGGAUAACCUACCUAUAAGACUGGGAUAACUUCGGGAAACCGGAGCUAAUACCGGAUAAUAUUUUGAACCGCAUGGUUCAAAAGUGAAAGACGGUCUUGCUGUCACUUAUAGAUGGAUCCGCGCUGCAUUAGCUAGUUGGUAAGGUAACGGCUUACCAAGGCAACGAUGCAUAGCCGACCUGAGAGGGUGAUCGGCCACACUGGAGCUGAGACACGGUCCAGACUCCUACGGGAGGCAGCAGUAGGGAAUCUUCCGCAAUGGGCGAAAGCCUGACGGAGCAACGCCGCGUGAGUGAUGAAGGUCUUCGGAUCGUAAAACUCUGUUAUUAGGGAAGAACAUAUGUGUAAGUAACUGUGCACAUCUUGACGGUACCUAAUCAGAAAGCCACGGCUAACUACGUG